CUCCCUAUAGUGAAAGGGAUAUCACAAAGGUCUUCUAAACCUUUAGUCUAGGUUCGAAUCCUAGUAGGGAGG
rnacentral:tRNA from 3 species